rnacentral:lncRNA from 1 species
UUUUAAUAUUAAAUAAAACCACCCAAAAGUAAAAAGAGAAAAUCGAUUAAUAUCAUUCAUAAAUGAAAUUCUAGUUAUUAACAUGCCAUAAUUACUAGUUAACAUAGGAAACCCACAUCACUAUAAAUACUCUGGCACAAGCCAACACAUCCAAAGCUAGUAGAAGCAACAUCCAAAGAGGCUGGCAUAAAGUAACAGAAGGUAAAAAGCAGAGCAUGGCAAAAAGUAAAACACCAUUCAUAUGGACAAACAAAAUUUCAUCUUUCAAAUAAAUCAACUCUAGUUUCAAAUUUUAGCUUCCAACCUAAUAAUAUAAAGUUUGAAAAGCAGGUGAAUGAGAAAAUACAUGUCUAUUCAGAUACCGGUGAAGACAAAUACGGUUGCGUGGUGUGCGGUGGAAGUUGGAAUGACGGUGAUACCCUCUGUUUCUCUCUAUUUAUCUAUUUUUUUCUUAAUACUCAAAACUCCCCCCCAAAACCCUUCCCUUUUGUUGCUGAUUUUUUUGUCUCAAGGCUAAAACGAUGAACUUUUGUAUUCAUUAGAACCCGGUACCUAAGGGAUAAGUACCGCCUCCACACAGUCCCACAUAUAAAUAAAAU